rnacentral:rRNA from 1 species
GACGAACGCUGGCGGCGUGCAUAACACAUGCAAGUCGAAGGGGGCCCGCAAGGGCAACCGGCGAACGGGUGCGUAACACGUAAGCGACCUGCCUCGAUGUGGGGCAUAGCCGGCCUAACGGCCGGGUAAUUCCGCAUACGCUCUUGGGAGGGGCAUAUCUCCGAGAUGAAACCAGCAAUGGGCAUUGAGAGGGGCUUGCGGCCUAUCAGCUAGUUGGUGAGGUAACGGCUCACCAAGGCUACGACGGGUAGCUGGUCUGAGAGGACGACCAGUCACACUGGAACUGAGACACGGUCCAGACACCUACGGGUGGCAGCAGUCGAGUAAUUUUUCUCAAGUGGGGGCAACCCUGAAGGAGCGACGCCGC